GACGAACGCUGGCGGCGUGCCUAACACAUGCAAGUUGAGCGACGAACCAGGGCUUGCCCUGGGGCAAAGCAGCGAACGGGUGAGUAACACGUGGGUAACCUACCCCGAUAACCGGGACAACCCGAGGAAACUCGGGCUAAUACCGGAUGUGCUCACUGGACUUCGGUUCAGUGCGUAAAGGAAGCUUCGGCCUCCGUAUCGGGAGGGGCCCGCGGCCCAUUAGUUUGUUGGUGAGGUAACGGCUCACCAAGACCGCGAUGGGUAGCUGGUCUGAGAGGACGAUCAGCCACACUGGGACUGAGACACGGCCCAGACUCCUACGGGAGGCAGCAGUGGGGAAUCUUGCGCAAUGCGCGAAAGCGUGACGCAGCAACGCCGCGUGGGGGAAGAAGGCCUUCGGGUUGUAAACCCCUUUCAGGAGGGGCGAAGGUUCGGCGGUGAAUAGCCGUCCGGACUGACGGUACCUCCACAAGAAGCCCCGGCUAACUACGUG
rnacentral:rRNA from 1 species